rnacentral:rRNA from 1 species
UACGGAGGGGGCUAGCGUUGUUCGGAAUUACUGGGCGUAAAGCGCACGUAGGCGGCCUUUGUAAGUUAGAGGUGAAAGCCCAGGGCUUAACCCCUGGAAUUGCCUUUAAGACUGCAUCGCUAGAAUCGUGGAGAGGUGAGUGGAAUUCCGAGUGUAGAGGUGAAAUUCGUAGAUAUUCGGAAGAACACCAGUGGCGAAGGCGACUCACUGGACACGUAUUGACGGCUGAGGUGGCGAAAAGCGUGGGGAGCAAACAGG